rnacentral:rRNA from 1 species
GAUGAACGCUGGCGGCGUGCCUAAUACAUGCAAGUCGAGCGAACAGAUAAGGAGCUUGCUCCUUUGACGUUAGCGGCGGACGGGUGAGUAACACGUGGGUAACCUACCUAUAAGACUGGGAUAACUUCGGGAAACCGGAGCCAAUACCGGAUAAUAUUUCGAACCGCAUGGUUCGAUAGUGGAAGAUGGUUUUGCUAUCACUUAUAGAUGGACCCGCGCCGUAUUAGCUAGUUGGUAAGGUAACGGCUUACCAAGGCGACGAUACGUAGCCGACCUGAGAGGGUGAUCGGCCACACUGGAACUGAGACACGGUCCAGACUCCUACGGGAGGCAGCAGUAGGGAAUCUUCCGCAAUGGGCGAAAGCCUGACGGAGCAACGCCGCGUGAGUGAUGAAGGUCUUCGGAUCGUAAAACUCUGUUAUGAGGGAAGAACAUACGUGUAAGUAACUGUGCACGUCUUGACGGUACCUAAUCAGAAAGCCACGGCUAACUACGUG